UACGUAGGGGGCAAGCGUUGUCCGGAUUUAUUGGGCGUAAAGAGCGUGUAGGCGGCUAGGUAGGUCCGUUGUGAAAACUCGAGGCUCAACCUCGAGACGUCGAUGGAAACCAUCUAGCUAGAGUCCGGAAGAGGAGAGUGGAAUUCCUGGUGUAGCGGUGAAAUGCGCAGAUAUCAGGAGGAACACCCGUGGCGAAAGCGGCUCUCUGGGACGGUACUGACGCUGAGACGCGAAAGCGUGGGGAGCAAACAGG
rnacentral:rRNA from 1 species